GGAUGGGCUGCAGCUCAGUGAAAGAGCAUCUGCAUUGCAUGCAGAACGUCCCAGGUUCAACCCCUGGCAGCUCCA
rnacentral:tRNA from 1 species